UAGGGAAUCUUCCGCAAUGGGCGAAAGCCUGACGGAGCAACGCCGCGUGAGUGAUGAAGGUCUUCGGAUCGUAAAACUCUGUUAUUAGGGAAGAACAAAUGUGUAAGUAACUAUGCACGUCUUGACGGUACCUAAUCAGAAAGCCACGGCUAACUACGUGCCAGCAGCCGCGGUAAUACGUAGGUGGCAAGCGUUUUCCGGAAUUAUUGGGCGUAAAGCGCGCGUAGGCGGUUUUUUAAGUCUGAUGUGAAAGCCCACGGCUCAACCGUGGAGGGUCAUUGGAAACUGGAAAACUUGAGUGCAGAAGAGGAAAGUGGAAUUCCAUGUGUAGCGGUGAAAUGCGCAGAGAUAUGGAGGAACACCAGUGGCGAAGGCGACUUUCUGGUCUGUAACUGACGCUGAUGUGCGAAAGCGUGGGGAUCAAACAGG
rnacentral:rRNA from 1 species